rnacentral:rRNA from 1 species
UACGAAGGGGGCUAGCGUUGCUCGGAAUGACUGGGCGUAAAGGGCGCGUAGGCGGAUUGCUUUGUCGGGCGUGAAAUUCCAGGGCUUAACCUUGGGGCUGCGUUCGAGACGGGUUGUCUAGAGUUUGGAAGAGGGUCGUGGAAUUCCCAGUGUAGAGGUGAAAUGUGUAGAUAUUCGGAAGAACACCAGUGGCGAAGGCAGCGAAUUGGCCCUAUAUUGACGCUCAGGCACGAAAGCAUGGGGAUCAAACAGG